AGAGUUUGAUCCUGGCUCAGGAUGAACGCCGGCGGCGUGCUUAACACAUGCAAGUCGAACGAGCCCUUCGGGGUUAGUGGCGGACGGGUGAGUAACGCGUGAGGAUCUGCCUUCAGGUUGGGGACAACCACUGGAAACGGUGGCUAAUACCCAAUGUGCCGAGAGGUGAAAGGCUUGCUGCCUGAAGAUGAACUCGCGUCUGAUUAGCUAGUUGGUGAGGUAAGGGCUCACCAAGGCGACGAUCAGUAGCUGGUCUAAGAGGAUGAUCAGCCACACUGGGACUGAGACACGGCCCAGACUCCUACGGGAGGCAGCAGNGGNAAAUUUUCCGCAAUAGGCGAAAGCCUGACGGAGCAACGCCGCGUGUGGGAGGACGGAACCUAGGGUUGUAAACCACUUUCUCUGGGGUGAAGCUCUGACCGGUACCAGAGGAAUAAGCCUCGA
rnacentral:rRNA from 1 species